GCUUUAAAUAUGGAUCUCUCUCCAGAAGUAGGUGUAACUGCGGAACCUCGACUUGCGAGGGAUCCAUGCUGGACCAUUUUCCACCCAUGUUUUUAAUUCGACGACGUUCAAACACAGAUUAAUCGACGGCGUAAUCAAGUCAUAGGAACCGGCUAAAAUUUGAAUGACACGUCAAGGUGACCCCUUCCAGGUCUGUGAUCCCCUCUCCGUCGUGAAUGACGCGAUGUUCGCAUCUCGUUGACGCAGGAGAAGGCGGAAUGGGUCCAAACGAAAAGCAGAGACGUGGACAAAUGUGUGACAAGUUACCUAACUUGAUCUGGCUUGACUUUUGCUCCAUAUCGUCGUGUUUAUUCCCGCGCUUUCAGGGUCGAUGCGCAAGAGGAUGAUAAAUAAAGCGAGCUUUCAAACACAAAAGCACGUCACACGAUUGGCUAUGAAAGAGAACAUUUUCGGGACUUUGAAAAUUCUUCAUUCAACAGCCAAUUGUGUAAACUAUUAUUGUCUUCUCCUUGAAAAGCUCUCAAAAUAAAUACAUAAAUAUAAAUAUCGAAGUCGCAAUCUCAGAGAUUAAUUGAUGAUUAUGAGAUACUAGGAAACAGUAAAAAAAAGAAAAUAGGAGUGGCCGAAAAUCGGCAAGGAAAUUUUAUUAGAGAUACACGAGGACGAUGUGGCAAUUAUAUUAUGCAAGAAUAAUUAAUGCCAAUGACUUGUAUAAAGGCUCACACUAUUAUGCAAUUUUUUCAAGAUGAAAAUAGUAUAAUUAAUUAAGAUGACUGACCAACUUUCACAAAACUUUGUAAGAGUAGAUGGCUUAUCUUGAGACCGACGUAAUCGAAGCCAUCUCUCCACUUGCCUUUCGGACCAAUCUAAUUGUUUAGCCAAUCCCGCAAUCUUAAAAUAUAUGCAAUUAUGUAUCACAAAAUGUUGACAUAUAAUAUGCAGAUAAUAUACAAAUAAAGCAGUAUAUUAUUAAUGA